CCCCGCAGUGCGUCGCGCCGCUGCCCGCAUCUCCGAGGCCCGCGACGAGCGGGGCCUCACGGGAGCUGGAUGCUCGGAGCAGCAAGGCGGCCCUGGGGGCCCCUUCCGGUCCCGGGGCUGACGCCUGGCGGCGUCUCCGGGAACCCGCGCCCUUUCAAGCGCCGCUGGCUCCUGUUUCACAGAUGGAGACCCUGAAGCCCCAACAAGCAGCCUCCCCAGCACCUCCCAGUGACUGAAAAAGCUGGCACUGGGCGCCCGUCUCACUCUCCACCCAGCUCCCAGGCUGCCCCACGGGACCAGCACCUUUGGGGAGAGACGAGACCUGAACAAACGCUGGGGCUGGAUCCCCAGGGUGGGUCAGAACAGCCGUUGCCCUGAAAGCUGGCCCGGACAGAUGCGUGCGGGGCGUGCCACCGGAGCUCCUUCCAGCUUGCGUCUGGGGCCACCAUGUCCCUUCCUCAGGGCACUGGAUCCAUCUCUUCAAGCUCAGUGGUCCAGGCCAUGGUGGCAGAAUCACCCCCCAGGGUGUGACGCCUCGUCCCUGUCAAUUCCACACAGCUGCACCCGGAAGAGCUGUGGCCGGGCGCCGCUCUGACCUGUGUGCGGUCCCCUGAAUGGGUCUCAGGUGUCUUCAGAAUGCUGUGCAAGUUCAUUCGCAAACGUCCUAGAAGUGGAACUGCUGGGUCAAAGUGCAUUCCCCAAAUGUCCUGCCAGAGGCCUGGUCGGCAGCAGCCUCCUGCACAGCCCGAGUCCCUUCUGCGAGAGUCCUGGCUUGUUUGCAGCCUGCAGCUGGGAGAUUUGAAGUCAGACUUCCAGGAUUGCCGCAUGGAGCUGCAGAGGGAGUGAGCAUGGGGCUGGAGGACCUGCCCCGCCGGCUGACACUCCCACAGCAAGGCGGGCCCGCCAAGGAAGCACUCCACAUCCGCUAGGUAGGGUUUGUCUGCAUCUUUUCAGUUCUUCAGUUUAAGUCCUGCCUGGGAAGAAAGCAAACUCCAGAGGCAAAUCUGGAAUGCCUGUGUGCCACCUUCUCACCGCACCACAGACUCCCCUGAGGACGGGUUGUGGCGG
rnacentral:lncRNA from 1 species